CCUUAGAAUUUGUAUGUCUCAUCUAAGGAGAUACCGUAUGUUCUUACCAUUAUCUGUAAAGUUUGUUUUUUCUCCUUUUCAAUAUAAAGUUGUUAAUUUAAAGUUUUUAUUUUAUUUUAUUUAUUUAUUAUGAAUCAUUAAAUAGCAAUACGAGUUUUUGAUUGUUAUUUUAAGGAAAGAAAAAUGGGUCAGGAACAAAGGAGUGGCUCAAAAAUAGUGAGAGUGUAUUUGCAAUAUACAGAAGAAACCACAGAAAGAAAAGCUCAGGAGAAUACCCCCAAAUUAUUUAAAAAUGGUUAUAUGUUUAGGUAAUAGUUGAAUGUUUUCAAAUGCUGCUGUGACCCUCUUAUGGAAGGUGCUGUUUCAAAUCCAGUUUUAGAGAAGCUUUCCACUUGAAAAGCCUAUCUACUAAAGAGAAAAUUAUGUAAAGCCCAUGAAUGAAUAUGAGCGUGAAAGUUUAGAGCAGAUGGGAGUCAACUCUGGCUACUCUACACAGGAUGUUGCUAAACUAUUCUUGAGCAGAGCAGCUGCAGUUUGUAACGAUGGUAGCUCUGAAGUGGGAUCAUCUUGUGCAUUUGACUGCUGAAUACUCGAUGAAACUGAAGAUGGAGAAUGCCUUAUUUUGUGGCAAAAUUGCUUACAUCCAAAAUCUUCAGGAAAAGUUGAGAUAGGCUUCAGAAAAUGACAUUUGUAGGCAGAAAUCAUUCAACAGCAAAGUUUGUGCACUUUGAUGGGAAAAAAAGCUUUUAUACCUGCUGAAGUUCUUUCCCCUCCUCUGACUGUGCAGGCUACCAUGAGUAAGUAAAGACUGUAUCAGACAUCCAGCUCUAGGCUGAUGCUGUGUUCAUCUGUUGCUGGCUAGCAGUGUCACUGUUUUACCAUAUGUGAAAGACAACUAACUGUGCUGUAGUGAGGAUGCCUCUAGUGGUACGCUUUGGCAUGCAGUUGCAGCUGUCAAUGUGCUUUGGUAUUACAAAGCAUUAGCCACUCAAACUGUCUUCCUCUCUGUCCUCUUCUGUAACUUCAUGUCCUGUUACCUUGUACAUCCACACAUCUGAUGGCAGUAUUUAGCCUGAUGUUGAUUAAUCUCCUGACAAAAUUAAGGCAUCAGAAAGCCAACAAGAAAGGAAGUGGACAGUUUUGGAAGUGGUAGGUCACUGGAGUUUCCUCUUCCAUGGUAAACUUGAAACUAACAAGUCCAUCUCCCUGGAUUACCACUUGCUUCCUUGUUUUUUGACAGUUCUUCACAAACAGGCAAGUGGUGAGUGCUCUUUCCACUCUCUCACAAAUUCUCAGGGACAUGUGCUGGGUACUUGAUACAAUCCCAGAACAAAUGCCUUCCCUGUCCUUGUGGGCAUAACGAUUUAUAUGUGAUCAUCUUCAACAGCCUGGAUGAUGUUGCAAUUACUUCAAAAUGAUUCAUUUUUAGUUUUAUAUGAUUUAUUGUUUGUAAUUUGUCUUUCUCACUUCUGCACUUUCUCACAUGUAUCCAGUAGAUAAAAUAUCUGACAUAUGGAUCCCAUUGUCUAUCUUUUCUCUGAUUGGUUCAGAAUAUUUUAGAAAUAGAAAUGACAUUACAUAUUCAUAUUAUUACAUUAUGUAUACAAACAUAACUUUGAAAUUCUCUUUCUAAUGUAACCAUUUGAAAAAGAUGGUGAAUCUGCUUUGCAGGGUUUUUGCUACAGAUCAACCAGCCUGUUAACCGGAGAGAAUGUAUGGCUUGUCUCACCAUUACAGCCUUGCCUGUGCGUGGCCAUAGCUCAGCGUGGAGGGAAAACCUAGAGAACCCCUUGUCAGAAUAUUCUUGGAAUGGUAUUUCAUGUUCUGUGUUUCCUAUAUAACUUUCUCUGUCUGGCUGAUCUUUGUAGGGAUAAGUUGUCCCCUUCAUUUUCUUUUAACAGCCGGUGUACAUUAAUAUGGUUUUUAAAAAGGUGACUGAUGAUAUUCUAUUAAAAAUAAUUAUGAAAAGUCUUA